CAAUGCAAUUUCGGUGGAGAUAGCUAAAAUGGAAAGUGCGUUUGCUUUUCAGAGUUUCAAGGAGAAAGAUGCGAAACUAUUUCCAAGACAACCACCUCUACUACCACCACCACCACCACCACAGAGAGACCCAGGAGGAGAGUUCUGCCGCUUGUGGUGGCUGGGGCCGCCGCUGCUGUUCCGUUGCUAAUCCUUGUCCCAGCAUUAGCUGGUUCUCUGACUCUGGGAUAAAGGGAAAGGUGACAUGAUCGUCACCAGUAAUAAUAAAACAAAUUUAAAAUUA